UGUAAUACCCGGGCUUUUGAUGACGUGUUUAGUUGCUUGAGUUUGAGUAAUUAGGGUAUCCUUUGUUUGAUUACUUGUACAGAGAUGAGGAGUUAUAUGAAGUUUUCUUGUUUUUUUUUUUUAAAGAUGUUGAGAUGUUCUUUUGAUGAUGUUUGGAUGAUGUGGGCAUUACUUUUACUAUACGUAUAUAGAGAUCCCCUGCGUGUCGUAGGCCUCUUAUACGAAUGAAUGCAUGAGAUGAUUUAACUGUUAAUUUUAGUUUUAUAUAUAUCUAUCAAAUGAGUUUAAUGUUACAUUUGAGCAAGUUAUUUCGUUACAAAAUAUUUGAGUUAAAGUUAUUU
rnacentral:lncRNA from 1 species